AAACCAACAGGGAUUGCCUCAGUAACGGCGAGUGAAGCGGCAAGAGCUCAAAUUUGAAAUCUGGUACUUUCAGUGCCCGAGUUGUAAUUUGAAGAUUGUACUCUGGAGUUGGCCCUUAUCUAUGUUCCUUGGAACAGGACGUCACAGAGGGUGAGAAUCCCGUGCGAUGGGGAGCCCGAUUCCAUGUAGAGUGCUCUCGAAGAGUCGAGUUGUUUGGGAAUGCAGCUCUAAGUGGGUGGUAAAUUCCAUCUAAAGCUAAAUAUUGGCGAGAGACCGAUAGCGAACAAGUACAGUGAUGGAAAGAUGAAAAGAACUUUGAAAAGAGAGUGAAAAAGUACGUGAAAUUGUUGAAAGGGAAGGUUAUUAGAUCAGACUUGGUGUUUGGCGAUAUUCAGUCUCUCGUAGACUGUUCACUCGCCCUUCACUGGGCCAGCAUCGGUUUGGGUGGCAGGAUAAUGGCUGUUGAACGUGGCUUCUCCGGAAGUGUUAUAGCUUCAGCUGAUACUGCCUACCUAGACCGAGGACUGCGGCUUCUGCCUAGGAUGCUGGCGUAAUGAUCUAAUAUCGC
rnacentral:rRNA from 1 species